UCUGUACAUCACUUGAGCUUAGAGUUGAGGCCUCUGACUGGCCAACGGACUCACAAGUGUAGGUAAUGAGCUACACAAGGGGCAUGUCUUCUGCUAACACCACAAGGGGCAUGUCUUCUGCUAAUACAUGUCUCUGGCCCAAGGAGGGAAGUUUGAUAGUAAUUCUUACUACAAGU
rfam:Canis lupus familiaris chromosome 15, whole genome shotgun sequence.